UUCUAGUUCAAGAUGAGCAUUUAUGGUUAAAAUGUAUAAAAUUUUAAUUUUUUUUUAGAAAGUGAGUGAUGGUUUCUCUAGAUAAGACCCUUAUUUCUCGUCUGGGAUUGCAUAGAACGUUUUGAAGCUGCAAUGAAACUGUAUUUUUGACCUUCAACCAUUUGGAGGCCACUGAAGUCCACUAUAAGGAGAAAAAUCCUGGAAUGUUUUCAUCAAAAACCUUCAUUUCUUUUUGACUGAAGAAAGAAAGACAUGAACAUCUUGGAUGACAUGGGGAAUGGCCUCAAGAGGAUUACCAUUCACCAGAGCAGAGCCAAUCAGAGUGCAAUGUGUGGGGUUACACACCACCUGCCAAACUUUCAAGGCAGUUGAUGGGAUAAUCACACCGGACAAAACACAGACCACUACUUUGGCAGCCUUGUGGGAUGUACACCUCCCCACAAUCUGACCAAUCUCUCUUCAAAGAUCUGACAUAUAUUAUCAAAAAUUACACAAUACAUAAAACAUAUGGAAAAGACUCCAUAAUUGCAGCGCACAAGUCAAGUAUUUUUAAAACUUCGCCCCUCCCAUUGAGCAAACAAGAACAGAGGUUAGUAUUGGAGGUCCUGCUUCCACCUUCAAAAGAAAAAAGUGGUGAAGAACCUGACCUGUUUUCAUCAGGAGGAUAUGUCACCAUAAGAAGGUACAUUAAUAACAUCUGAGUACACAAUUUGUGUUAUACAUUUUUUUUUUUUUUUUUUUUACAGCUUAAAGUAAUAAGGAUGACAUCAUCAGAGAUGGGAGAAAUCCCAGUGCUUGACUUGGACCUGAAAUGUGGGUCCACAGAACUCAACGUCACACUGUGGCGUGCUGAAGCCUGGUACCGAUGGGCAUUGAGGACGAAGUCAUAAUGACUGAUCUGAGACCAAACAUCAUCAAGCUGAAUUCAUCCGCUUACACUAUGAUCUUAGUAUAAUAACCCUCCAUGGUUCACACCGUUGUCCUUUCUUAGACAUUCCACCCCCUUACAAAUGCUGUUUGAACAUGAUCCAUGUUUCCUCAGUUGAAAGAGUUAAACCUGGGUCAUUCUAAACCCCAGGUAAACCGAAUCCUUGGUAUAUUGCUUAACAUUUCACACUGAUCUAGGGGUGUGUGAUAAAGAUAUCUUGAUAUUUUCUGGGAUUUUAGCAAUAACAGUAUUUAUAUUUUGCUGAGUGUGGCAAGGACGACUGACUUCAAAUUUUUUGAUAUUGUUCAUAUUCUGUAUUGUGGUCAGUUAUAUAGGCAUUUUCCCUUUAUAAAGCCAUUUCUUAACCUAAGUAAAUGUAUGAAUCAUCUUUUGUGUCAAAUGCUUAAAUUUAAUCAAUAGAGGUGAUAAAAUCAUUAUCUAAGAAUUAAUCUACAGUUGUGGUCAGAAUUAUAUAUAUAUAUAUAUAUAUAUAAUAUCAGUGGCGUGCAGUGGUGUUCUGAAAUGAGGAGGCAAUUUUUUUUUUUAUUUAUGAAUCAAUGUAAAUUCAUGUGCAUUACUCUUAACGUUGACACAUCUUCCUUGUUAAAUGAACAUUACAUUACAUCAAAAAAGAAAAAAGAAACCAAAUACAAUUCUAUUUUGUAAUUUUACAUGAACAAUGUAUUGUAAUAAAUGUUCUAUUUAUCAAAACCAA